rnacentral:rRNA from 1 species
GACGAACGCUGGCGGCGUGCUUAACACAUGCAAGUCGAACGCUGAAGCUCAGCUUUUGUUGGGUGGAUGAGUGGCGAACGGGUGAGUAACACGUGAGUAACCUGCCCCCUUCUUUGGGAUAACGCCCGGAAACGGGUGCUAAUACUGGAUAUUCACUGGUCUUCGCAUGGGGGUUGGUGGAAAGGGUUUUUCUGGUGGGGGAUGGGCUCGCGGCCUAUCAGCUUGUUGGUGGGGUGAUGGCCUACCAAGGCUUUGGCGGGUAGGCGGCAUGAGAGGGUGCCCGGUAACUUUGGGACUGAGAUACGGCCGAGACUCCGACGGGAGGCAGCAGUGGGGAAUAUUGCACAAUGGGCGCAAGCCUGAUGCAGCGACGCCGCGGGAGGGAUGGAGGCCUUCGGGUUGUGAACCUCUUUCGCUCAUGGUCAAGCCGCAACAAUGGUUGUGGUGAGGGUAGUGGGUAAAGAAGCGCCGGCUAACUACGUG